rnacentral:tRNA from 2 species
GCCUCGGUAGCUCAAUGGUAGAGCAGUUGACUCUUAAUCAAUUGGUUGGGGGUUCGAGUCCCUCCCGGGGUACCA